GCCAGUGUAGUGUAGUGGUUUGAGUGCUGGACUAUGACUCUGGAGAUGAGGGUUCGAAUCCACUGGUC